GACGAACGCUGGCGGCGUGCUUAACACAUGCAAGUCGAACGGUGAAGCUCCAGCUUGCUGGAGUGGAUCAGUGGCGAACGGGUGAGUAACACGUGAGCAACCUGCCCCUGACUCUGGAAUAAGCGCUGGAAACGGCGUCUAAUACAGGAUACGAGAAGGGCCCGCAUGGGCACCUUCUGGAAAGUUUUUCGGUUGGGGAUGGGCUCGCGGCCUAUCAGCUUGUUGGUGAGGUAAUGGCUCACCAAGGCGACGACGGGUAGCCGGCCUGAGAGGGCGACCGGCCACACUGGGACUGAGGCACGGCCCAGACUCCUACGGGAGGCAGCAGUGGGGAAUAUUGCACAAUGGGCGAAAGCCUGAUGCAGCGACGCCGCGUGAGGGAUGACGGCCUUCGGGUUGUGAACCUCUUUCGGCAGAGAAGAAGCGAAAGUGACGGUACCUGCAGAAGAAGCACCGGCUAACUACGUG
rnacentral:rRNA from 1 species